AUUGAACGCUGGCGGCAGGCCUAACACAUGCAAGUCGAACGAGUGGCGGACGGGUGAGUAAUGUCUGGGAAACUGCCCGAUGGAGGGGGAUAACUACUGGAAACGGUAGCUAAUACCGCCUACCAUCGGAUGUGCCCAGAUGGGAUUAGCGAGUGGGUGGGGUAACGGCUUACCUAGGCGACGAUCCCUAGCGGGUCUGAGAGGAUGACCAGCCACACUGGAACUGAGACACGGUCCAGACUCCUACGGGAGGCAGCAGGGGGGAAUAUUGCACAAUGGGCGAAAGCCUGAUGAAGCCAUGCCGAGUGUAUGAUGAAGGCCUUGGGGUUGUAAAGUACUUUCAGCGAGGAGGCGUUACUCGCAGAAGAAGCACCGGCUAACUCCGGGCCAGCAGCCGCGGUAAUAC
rnacentral:rRNA from 1 species